UGGAUAUUUUGUUGGACUAACCCCUGUAGGAAAACUUUCAAUAUCGACCUGGGAAGUCCUGAGAUAAACCCACAAUGGAGACAAAGAGAGAGACACAUGAAGUUUAACAAUUUACACAAGAAAGACAGCUCAUAAGAGAUGAUUCAUGGAGGGUUCCACAAACACGUUGCACAACCGCUAAGAAAGGAAAGCUUCCACAAGGUGAUACUGUACCAUCACUCUUCAAGUAAGGUAACAUCUUAAGGUACUUGACUAUCACUUUUAUAAGCUUCUUCUUGGUUCUGGCAUUCACAUGAACAAAAGAGACAAACAUGUAUGAUUUACAACUCUAGAUUAACCAACCCAAUCGAUUCAAUAUGUUUAGUCCUUUCACCGUUGUGAUCCCACACUCCUAAUCAUAUGAGCUAAAAUGUUGCGCACUCAAUCUUUGGAAGAUAUAUAAAAAACACAACAUAAAUAUAGAUAGAUUAUCUUUCCAUUAGGUUGAGCGAUCUGAUCUGACAAAUGUUUUAAAUGCUACACUCAUGAUCUUAUUAUCCAUCAACUUUGUCUUGCUCACUAUGCUUAAGGUUAGAGAAGAACAAAUACACUUUUGGUUCUGUUGGUGUUUUCCACCAACAGGGCCCAUGCACUUGAUCUCUGCCUCGUCUCUAUGAGCAGGUACACUUCGAACAAAACAUGGAGGAGUUUUACAACUCUCAGACUCCACCAAGUGAAGGACCUGGAUCUACGAGCACAAACAUACUGAGCAGGAUGCUGCCAACGCCGCACUUCGAACUGCUGGGCAAAUGAAGAACAUGGGUGACACUGUAUCAAGAGAUGCAGACGUCAAGGUCCACGCCUGAAUCAAAUAAUGCACCUAAAGAAUGAACACGGUGAGAAGUCUUGUUCAGAAGACUUAAAACAUUGAACCCUCGCCGAAAGGUAAAAUCGGUAGUUAUCCAUAUUUAUCCUUUCUGCAUUCCCUUUUCCCUUAAAUUAUUUACUUUCAUUAAAUGGCUUGUUAGUUAAUCAUGCUAUCUUGAAAAGAAAAUAAAACUAUUAAAAAAAAGUAAACCCCAUGUGAGUAUGCUCAUGGCAUAAAACCCAUAAGUACAUUCACUAUGGUGGCGUAAAAAUAAAAUAAAUAUAUUUUUGUCCUAUAAAAAUAAAAUAUAAAAAUAAAUUUAUGAUCCUACCAAAGAGAGUAAUAUUUAUUAGAGGAAGUUUAACAUGAUAACGGCUAAGAGAUUUUAUGCUAACACUUAACCAGUUCCACAAAGCUUUGUUGUCUAUUUGAGCUCCACAGAAUUCAAGGAUCAAAGAAGACUAGCAGACGGAGGACAUCCUAAUCGCUGUCAAGGUGCUGCCAACAUUCAAAUACACCUCCGCCACCUGCUAGCUACAUGAGAAGAAAUUACGUCGAAAUCCAGCUUGGGGGAGAGCACCCCCAUUUAUCUAGCUAAGUGUUCUACUCACGUUUAUACUUUACUCAAAUAAUAAAAAGAUACAUAAUCAUAAAAACCCAAAUAAAGAUUUUGUGCUUAGAUAUAUAUCUUUGCUUAGUUUGCUAAAUAAAUAAAUAAAUAAAUAAAGUUUGCUAUGAACCCACAUGAUAAGCUCUCACAUGGAAAUGAUGAAUAGUUGCUCUGUCAUGACUAGUUCUCAAAAUUGAAAUCUCUCUCAAGUUUAGGCAUGACUGUUAUUAAUUAAGAUUUGCUCUAAAUCUGAACUUGUGGGAAGAGUACUUGAUCUAAAGUCUAAGUCGUUAACGGAUACGAUAUGGGAAGGUUGAGCUGUUGUUUAUCUGUUCCUAGAGAUGCUAGAAUUCUAGAGAAUUUUAUCUUUGAAAAUCUUUAAAAUGUUGCAUGAUGAAUUCCUGUAUGAUGAGAGUUUAAAUUCCUACCACAGCCAUAUAUACAUGCUUAUUAGACUAUGAACCAUACAUUUACUUUUUACUGCUUAUGAGCAUUGAGUGUGGUCAAGCUGUAUAGACCCUUAGGAGCUUGUCAUGCGGUUAAAAUCAAGAUUCACUUGCACGUUCACUCAUACAUGCUGCUUUUACUCCAGAAGUACGCAUCCACAUACAUCCACUCAUUUCCAUAUCCAGAUUCAUCCAAAAUUAUUCUACUCCUAUCUAGGAGAGAAUAGCUAAAAACAUUAUCCUAUCCCUGUUAUUCCCCGUGAAAUAAAUGCUCAAGAUAUUUUGGUUACUACCACUUGCUACAUUAUUCGAGGAGGGUGAGUGCUCUGGAAAAAAAGUGAAUACGAGGAAAUAAAAAGGGGCAAGUGCCCGAAACCUCGGAAAAAAAAAGAAGAAAAAGUGAUACGAGAGGUAAAAAUGGACAAGUGUCCGACAGUAGAAUUAGGGGUACAAGAUACCCACCUGAGAGAAAAGAAAAAUAAAAUAUAGAGCAUCUCAUUCCCCUCAAAAGCCUCAAGUGCAAGGAAGGUAUGUACCCCCUCAAAAGAGCAAAAGUAGAAUUAGACUUUCACCAUUAUUUUCACCGUUAUCACCAUUCAUUCGCCACACAUGCACAUCUUGAUUUGACUUAUUGACUUAUUCUUCUAGAUCCAUGGUUUGACUAUGCAAUAAAUAUCUUGUAAGUAUGUAUUAUUUGCCUCCCACCUAUGAGCUCCAGAUAUCAAAACCUUAUUAGAGUAGGGUGAGAGAGAAGGCAAUGCCACUAUGCCUCAUACCAAAAAUACCACAUACUUUGAGAGAAGGCAUACACCAUUACUGCCUUGGUAAGGAUCCAGAAAUACCAUAAAAGAGAGACUAGAGAGAGUCAUAUAAGGAAUCUUUGAGUUUUAUUUGAAAAUCUAAAAAAACUCUAGAGCUAUAGUUAAUCGAAGAACAAGAGACAUGGCGCUUGACUAGACCGUUCUAUCUUUUAACUGCUCCAGACACAAGUGACGGUUGCAAGCUCCAUGGUGGAAGGUAAAUGAGUAAGUUUAAAUCUUAAUAGUUUACCCUAACCCAGAGAUGAGAUCUUCUUUGAACGCAUGUGUACCUUUAAGGCAUGAAACCACUACAGAAACUCUUGAGUCCAUCCUUGCUCAGGGACGAGCAAGAGGUAAGCUUGGGGGAGCUUGUUGACGGUCCUUAAUGCUCACAUUUAACCGUCAACUAAUCAUGGAAAAGGACCUAUAUGCAACCAACAUCCAAAAUUAGGGUUUCAACUGACAGAAUUCCACGAGUUUUGGUGUUUGUCUAUUUCUGCAGGGGGUUAUCAGGAAACAUGGAGGAAAGGCCCACAC
rnacentral:lncRNA from 1 species